rnacentral:rRNA from 1 species
ACGUAGGGUGCAAGCGUUAAUCGGAAUUACUGGGCGUAAAGCGUGCGCAGGCGGUUAUGUAAGACAGAUGUGAAAUGCCCGGGCUUAACCUGGGAACUGCAUUUGUGACUGCAUGGCUAGAGUGUGUCAGAGGGGGGUAGAAUUCCACGUGUAGCAGUGAAAUGCGUAGAUAUGUGGAGGAAUACCGAUGGCGAAGGCAGCCCCCUGGGAUAACACUGACGCUCAUGCACGAAAGCGUGGGGAGCAAACAGGAUUAGAUACCCUGGUAGUCCACGCCCUAAACGAUGUCUACUAGUUGUCGGGUCUUAAUUGACUUGGUAACGCAGCUAACGCGUGAAGUAGACCGCCUGGGGAGUACGGUCGCAAGAUUA